rnacentral:rRNA from 1 species
GUGAGUAGUUCAGAGUUUGAUCCUGGCUCAGGAUGAACGCUGGCGGCGUGCCUAACACAUGCAAGUCGAGCGGAGAUAUACGCCGAAAGAAGCUUCGGCCUAUUUCAUUGUAUAUCUUAGCGGCGGAUGGGUGAGGAACGCGUGGAGAACCUGCCCUUCACAGGGGGAUAACAGCGGGAAACUGCUGUUAAUACCGCAUAUGCUCACGGUACCGCAUGGUACAGGGAGGAAAGCGCUUAGCGGUGAAGGAUGGCUCCGCGUCGGAUUAGCCAGUUGGCGGGGUAACGGCCCACCAAAGCAAUGAUCCGUAGCCGGCCUGAGAGGGCGACCGGCCACAUUGGGACUGAGACACGGCCCAA